rnacentral:ncRNA from 1 species
AACGGUUCUUGCUCAAAGCGAGAUUAAAAGGGAAUCGGGUGUAAAUCCCGAACAGUCCCGCUGCUGUGAGUUCACAAAGUAGAGAUACCGAACCCUUUUGCCACUGUCGGGCGGCAUAGUCCGAUGGGAAGGCGUGGUAUCUUUGAACAAGUCAGAAGACCUGCCGAUUGCA